GUCCACGCCGUAAACGAUGGAUACUAGCUGUUCGGAGCAAUCUGAGUGGCUAAGCGAAAGUGAUAAGUAUCCCACCUGGGGAGUACGUUCGCAAGAAUGAAACUCAAAGGAAUUGACGGGGGCCCGCACAAGCGGUGGAGCAUGUGGUUUAAUUCGAUGAUACGCGAGGAACCUUACCAAGGCUUAAAUGUAGUUUGACAGAUUUGGAAACAGAUUUUUCUUCGGACAAAUUACAAGGUGCUGCAUGGUUGUCGU
rnacentral:rRNA from 1 species